rnacentral:rRNA from 1 species
AGAGUUUGAUCAUGGCUCAGGACGAACGCUGGCGGCGUGCUUAACACAUGCAAGUCGAGCGGUAAGGCCCUUCGGGGUACACGAGCGGCGAACGGGUGAGUAACACGUGGGUGACCUGCCCCCUACUCUGGGAUAAGCCUGGGAAACUGGGUCUAAUACCGGAUAUGACUACAUGUCGCAUGGUGUGUGGUGGAAAGUUUUUCGGUGGGGGAUGGGCCCGCGGCCUAUCAGCUUGUUGGUGGGGUGAUGGCCUACCAAGGCGACGACGGGUAGCCGGCCUGAGAGGGCGACCGGCCACACUGGGACUGAGACACGGCCCAGACUCCUACGGGAGGCAGCAGUGGGGAAUAUUGCGCAAUGGGCGGAAGCCUGACGCAGCGACGCCGCGUGGGGGAUGACGGCCUUCGGGUUGUAAACCUCUUUCGGCCCCGACGAAGCGUGAGUGACGGUAGGGGUAGAAGAAGCACCGGCCAACUACGUGCCAGCAGCCGCGGUAAUACGUAGGGUGUGAGCGUUGUCCGGAAUUAUUGGGCGUAAAGAGCUCGUAGGCGGUCUGUCGCGUCGAUCGUGAAAACUUGGGGCUUAACCCUGAGCUUGCGGUCGAUACGGGCAUGACUGGAGUUCGGCAGGGGAGACUGGAAUUCCUGGUGUAGCGGUGAAAUGCGCAGAUAUCAGGAGGAACACCGGUGGCGAAGGCGGGUCUCUGGGCCGAUACUGACGCUG